rnacentral:lncRNA from 10 species
GCCGCAGACGGCGAAAACCAGAGGUGGUUACAGUCAAGUUUAGGGACUGCAGGAGCGAAUUCCCGAAGGCUUGCAGGAGCCGCCCGGCUCUGCCUCCAGCCUUUCUCUCUGGGCCUAGCGGGACUCUCCCAGGCAGGCCCCUCCCUGCCCGCGGGCGCACUUUCCCCGCCUGCAUCUGAGGCGUGGCGCAGCUGGGAGCAAAGCACAGGUGGGCUGGGCGCGGUUUGGGGUUCGGGCGUGGCAGAGUGGCGGCGGGGUCUGGGGAAGAGUUGUCUUGGGGGCAGCGCCAGCCACCAGAGCCCGAGUCAGCGCGGCCAGGACUCUGCAGGGGCAGGUAGCGACCCUUAGAGACGCAACGUGGCGCAGCGGACUCGGCUGCGUGGGGCAAGGGCCGGGGCCGGACACAGGAGCAGCGGGGAUGCCGGGUGCGCUCCGAGGGUGUGGCCCCCGGGCUGUGCGGGGCUCAGAGCUGCUUGCUGGGCGCGGUGCCCGACAAAGUUAUCCUGGAUCCUAUCUUUGGUACCAAUGUGACCCAUCCUGAGUGAAGGACAUGAAUAAAAGGGACGCAGUUCUCUGUCACUGGUGGAGUUGUCGGUUUCCAAAAACACAAAAAUGAAGUCUCGCUGUUGCCCAGUCUGGAGUGGAGUGGCGCGACCUCGGCUCACUGCAACCUCUAUCUCCAGGAUGCAAGGGAUUCUCGUGUCUCAGCCUCCCAAGUAGCUGGGACUAUAGGCGAGUGCCACCAUGCCCAGCUAAUUUUGGCCAGGCUGGUCUCAAAUUCCUGGCCUCAAGUGAUCCAUCUUCCUCGGCCUCCCAAAGUGCUGGGAUUACAGGCAUGAGCCACCAUGCCCAGCCCCAUCUUUCUAAUUUUAAUCAAUUUAUUUAAAUAAAAUUUUUCAUCACUACCAUAAAU